UCGUAUGACGGGGUAUCCGGCCUGAGAGGGUGAACGGACACACUGGAACUGAGACACGGUCCAGACUCCUACGGGAGGCAGCAGUAGGGAGAUAUUGCUCAAUGGGGGAAACCCUGAAGCAGCAACGCCGCGUGGAGGAUGAAGGUUUUAGGAUUGUAAACUCCUUUUGUUAGAGAAGAUAAUGACGGUAUCUAACGAAUAAGCACCGGCUAACUCCGUGCCAGCAGCCGCGGUAAUACGGAGGGUGCAAGCGUUACUCGGAAUCACUGGGCGUAAAGAGCGCGUAGGCGGGAUAGUCAGUCAGGUGUGAAAUCCUAUGGCUUAACCAUAGAACUGCAUUUGAAACUACUAUUCUAGAGUGUGGGAGAGGUAGGUGGAAUUCUUGGUGUAGGGGUAAAAUCAC
rnacentral:rRNA from 1 species